rnacentral:rRNA from 1 species
CAGCAGCCGCGGGAAUACGUAGGGUGCGAGCGUUAAUCGGAAUUACUGGGCGUAAAGCGUGCGCAGGCGGUUAUAUAAGACAGAUGUGAAAUCCCCGGGCUCAACCUGGGACCUGCAUUUGUGACUGUAUAGCUAGAGUACGGUAGAGGGGGAUGGAAUUCCGCGUGUAGCAGUGAAAUGCGUAGAUAUGCGGAGGAACACCGAUGGCGAAGGCAAUCCCCUGGGCCUGUACUGACGCUCAUGCACGAAAGCGUGGGGAGCAGACAGGAUUAGAUACCCGAGUAGUCCCUGUCUCUUAUAC